rnacentral:rRNA from 1 species
AACGAACGCUGGCGGCAUGCCUAACACAUGCAAGUCGAACGCGUGGAGCGAUCCACGAGUGGCGCACGGGUGAGUAACGCGUGGGAACCUGCCCUGGAGUGUGGGAUAACCCGGCGAAAGCCGGGCUAAUACCGCAUACGACCUGAGGGUGAAAGAUUUAUCGCUCUAGGAGGGGCCCGCGUCGGAUUAGCUAGUUGGUGAGGUAAUGGCUCACCAAGGCGAUGAUCCGUAGCUGGUCUGAGAGGAUGAUCAGCCACACUGGGACUGAGACACGGCCCAGACUCCUACGGGAGGCAGCAGUGGGGAAUAUUGGACAAUGGGGGCAACCCUGAUCCAGCAAUGCCGCGUGGGCGAUGAAGGCCUUCGGGUUGUAAAGCCCUUUUGCACGCGACGAUGAUGACGGUAGCGUGAGAAGAAGCCCCGGCUAACUUCGUGCCAGCCGCCGCCGUAA